AUUGAACGCUGGCGGAAUGCUUUACACAUGCAAGUCGAACGGCAGCACGGGGCAACCUGGUGGCGAGUGGCGAACGGGUGAGUAAUACAUCGGAACGUGCCCAAUCGUGGGGGAUAACGUAGCGAAGUUACGCUAAUACCGCAUACGAUCUACGGAUGAAAGCGGGGGAUCGCAAGACCUCGCGCGAGUGGAGCGGCCGAUGUCAGAUUAGGUAGUUGGUGGGGUAAAGGCUCACCAAGCCAACGAUCUGUAGCUGGUCUGAGAGGACGACCAGCCACACUGGAACUGAGACACGGUCCAGACUCCUACGGGAGGCAGCAGUGGGGAAUUUUGGACAAUGGGCGCAAGCCUGAUCCAGCCAUUCCGCGUGCAGGAUGAAGGCCUCGGUUGUAAC
rnacentral:rRNA from 1 species